UACGUAGGGGGCUAGCGUUGUCCGGAUUUAUUGGGCGUAAAGAGCGUGUAGGCGGCCAGGUAGGUCUGCUGUGAAAACUCGAGGCUUAACCUCGAGAUGUCGGCGGAAACCAUCUGGCUAGAGUCCGGAAGAGGAGAGUGGAAUUCCUGGUGUAGCAGUGAAAUGCGUAGAUAUCAGGAGGAACACCGAUGGCGAAGGCAGGUCUCUGGGCUGACACUGACGCUCAUGCACGAAAGCGUGGGGAGCAAACAGG
rnacentral:rRNA from 1 species